GCACAAUGGGCGAAAGCNUGAUGCAGCCAUGCCGCGUGCGUGAUGAAGGCCUUCGGGUUGUAAAGCGCUUUUAGGUGCGACGAUGAUGACGGUAACACCAGAAAAAGCCCCGGCUAACUUCGUGCCAGCAGCCGCGGUAAUACGAAGGGGGCAAGCGUUGUUCGGAUUUACUGGGCGUAAAGGGCGUGUAGGCGGAUGAUAUAGUUAGAGGUGAAAGCCCAGGGCUCAACCUUGGAACUGCCUUUAAUACUUAUUAUCUAGAGUUUGUGAGAGGGUGGCGGAAUAUCCAGUGUAGAGGUGAAAUUCGUAGAUAUUGGAUAGAAUACCAGUGGCGAAGGCGGCCACCUGGCACAACACUGACGCUGAGGCGCGAAAGCGUGGGGAGCAAACAGGAUUAGAUACCCUGGUAGUCCACGCCGUAAACGAUGUAUGCUAGUUGUCGGGUUAUUUUUAACUCGGUGACGCAGCUAACGCAUUAAGCAUACCGCCUGGGGAGUACG
rnacentral:rRNA from 1 species